UACGGGGGGGGCAAGCGUUGUUCGGAAUUACUGGGCGUAAAGGGUUUGUAGGUGGCUUGCUCAGUCAGACGUGAAAUCCCUCAGCUUAACUGGGGAACUGCGUCUGAUACUAGCGAGCUUGAGUGCAGGAGAGGAACGCGGAAUUCCAGGUGUAGCGGUGAAAUGCGUAGAUAUCUGGAGGAACACCGGUGGCGAAGGCGGCGUUCUGGACUGCAACUGACACUGAAAAACGAAAGCCAGGGGAGCAAACGGG
rnacentral:rRNA from 1 species